AACCAGAAGAGGUCAGAGGGUGAGAGUAGUAACCACUGAAGUGUAAGGCUGGGGAGGACAGGCCAGAUCAAGGCUGGAACCCAGACCCUGGGCUCUGGGGCAGGCGCUGAGCACAGAAGCGUCGAGAGGUCAUAGGCUGCAGACGGGACGGUGGAAGCUCUCUGGAGAAGCCCAAGGAAUCCAACCAUCCCAGGCUGGGAAAUGAAAACUCGGGCCUGUGUUCGCGGAGCCUGGACCCAAAACUGCCCAAAACUAUGCAGGGCUCAUGCUGACAGGGUGGCGGCUAAAUAUAGGAAACCCAACUAUCUGGAGAAUGCAGCUUCUGCAUUUGGGAGGAUAACGGGACAUGGGUUCGAGCCCUGGUCCGGGAAGAUCCCACAUGCUGCGGAGCAACUAAGCCCGUGCACCACAACUACUGAACCUGUGCUCUAGGGCCUGCGAGCCACAACUACUGAGCCCGCGUGUUGUAACUACUGAAGCCCGGGUGCCUAGAGCCUGUGCUCCGCAACAAGAGAAGCCACUGCAAUGAGAAGCCCACGCACCGCAACGAAGAGUAGCCCCCGUUCACGGCAACUAGAGAAAGCCCGCGCGCAGCAACGAAGACCCAAUGCAGCCAAAAAUAAAUAAAUAAAUAAAAUUAUUCUUAAAAAAAAGAAA